rnacentral:rRNA from 1 species
CACCAGCGCCACAAGUGGCAACCGUAUUUAUUUGGCCUAAAGCGUCCGUAGCUGGUUAGGUAAAUUUUCUGUGAAAUUGUGUUGCUUAACAAUACAACGGGCAGGAAACACUGCUUAGCUAGGGACCGGGAGGGGUAUGGAGUAUUCUUGAGGGAGCGGUAAAAUGCUAUAAUCUCUUGCAGACUACCUGUGGCGAAGGCGCCAUACCAGAACGGAUCCGACAGUGAGGGACGAAAGCCAGGGGAGCAAUCCG